rnacentral:rRNA from 1 species
CGUAGGGACCAAGCGUUGUUCGGAUUUACUGGGCGUAAAGGGCGCGUAGGCGGCGUGGUAAGUCACUUGUGAAAUCUCUGAGCUUAACUCAGAACGGCCAAGUGAUACUGCUGUGCUAGAGUGCAGAAGGGGCAAUCGGAAUUCUUGGUGUAGCGGUGAAAUGCGUAGAUAUCAAGAGGAACACCUGAGGUGAAGACGGGUUGCUGGGCUGACACUGACGCUGAGGCGCGAAAGCCAGGGGAGCAAACGGGAUUAGAUACCCCGGUAGUCCUGGCCCUAAACGAUGAAUACUUGGUGUCUGGAAUUAUUAUUGUUCCGGGUGCCGUCGCUAACGUUUUAAGUAUUCCGCCUGGGGAGUACGCACGCAAGUGUG